rnacentral:lncRNA from 14 species
CUGCUCAAAUGUUUAGUCUGACUAAGGACUUUCUGAGUCUCAUGCUCUGCCAGGGAGGAGGGGAAGCCAGGAGGAAGCAGAGAUAGGACACCUGACCCAAACUGACUAAAGAUGUAUUCCAUACCACACCAUACCAUGCCCAGGAUGUAAACUGGGAGUUACUUGGAAGGGCUUCUAAUAUGUAGCUCAACUCUGUUCAUGACCAGUUUAUAUCCAUUUGUUCUUGCAACAGCAUUGGCCUCUGGCUUAUCUGGUUGAGUGUUGACAGCCAAAAUCUUCUUUCUGCCCCAUCGAGUUUUGCUAGGUGGAGCACGACUUGCUCUGCUGGGUUUGGUGAGGUUGCCAAAAACAAGAUGAGUCAAUCUAUUGGCCUCUUGCCAUUGAAAGGGAUGAUCCCUGAUUUUCUUCUCCUCCCCUUCCUCUCUCUCCUGACCUUGAGUAUGUUUCCUGUGCAACCAGUUCUUCUGGCUCUUGUGUGGCCUUUCAAUUUAGCCGAUUAAACUGGCAGAAAAAUAACCCACCAAUUUUCUGCUGGUUUAGUGAGCAAGAUCAGUUCAGCAGAUGGUCAAAGCUGUGCUUCUUCAGGCCACCUCCAGGAACUGCACCAACUGUGUUUUCUGGCUUCUUUCUUCAGCCAGCUCCUGGCUAGACCAGAAAUCUGUGGUGCCUUGGAGCUGAUGAGUCAGGACAUCACAAGAGACAAGCCACUGACAGCUGUGGAGAUGAGGAGUUUUUACAACACGAAGCUGCCACUCAAAUUUCUCAGCAGUUUGGAUAACUCACACAGGAAGGGAGUUGGUUCCAUGAAAAGGGCUUUUAGUCAAAUGUCCUAAAUGAAACGACCACUUAGAACCCAAGAACAAGGUUGAAACAAGGUUCACCUGACUUCUCUAAAUCACAUUGGGUGAGGGC